UCCUACGGGAGGCAGCAGUGGGGAAUUUUCCGCAAUGGGCGAAAGGCCUGACGGAGCAAUACCGCGUGAGGGAUGAAGGCCUAGGGGUUGUAAACCUCUUUUUUCAGGGAGGAAUGUUUGACGUGUACCUGAAGAAUAAGCAUCGGCUAACUCCGUGCCAGCAGCCGCGGUAA
rnacentral:rRNA from 1 species